rnacentral:rRNA from 2 species
UUAAAUUGAAGAGUUUGAUCAUGGCUCAGAUUGAACGCUGGCGGCAGGCCUAACACAUGCAAGUCGAACGGUAACAGGAAGCAGCUUGCUGCUUCGCUGACGAGUGGCGGACGGGUGAGUAAUGUCUGGGAAACUGCCUGAUGGAGGGGGAUAACUACUGGAAACGGUGGCUAAUACCGCAUAACGUCGCAAGACCAAAGAGGGGGACCUUCGGGC